UCGUCAGGAGGUUAAUCCUUGCCUGUUCCUCCUCUCGGAGGGCAGAGAGAAAAUGAUGAUCGGAGCGCGCAUGACCUGCUGAUUAGCAGUUCCGCGCGGCCGGGGCCGACAACACCCCGGCCGCUCCUGUCUGAU
ensembl:snoRNA U8 U8 small nucleolar RNA